CCUACGGGUGGCAGCAGUGAGGAAUAUUGGUCAAUGGGCGCGAGCCUGAACCAGCCAAGUAGCGUGAAGGAUGACUGCCCUACGGGUUGUAAACUUCUUUUGUCGGGGAACAAAGGCGGAGACGCGUCUCCGGAUGAGUGUACCCGAAGAAAAAGCAUCGGCUAACUCCGUGCCAGCAGCCGCGGUAAUACGGAGGAUGCGAGCGUUAUCCGGAUUUAUUGGGUUUAAAGGGUGCGUAGGCGGACUGUUAAGUCAGCGGUAAAAGCCCGGGGCUCAACCCCGGCGAGCCGUUGAAACUGGCUGUCUUGAGAUGUCGAGAGGUAUGCGGAAUGCGCAGUGUAGCGGUGAAAUGCUUAGAUAUUGCGCAGAACUCCGAUUGCGAAGGCAGCAUACCGGCGGCGAUCUGACGCUGAGGCACGAAAGCGUGGGUAUCGAACAGGAUUAGAUACCCCAGUAGUC
rnacentral:rRNA from 1 species